AUUGAACGCUGGCGGCAUGCCUUACACAUGCAAGUCGAACGGCAGCACGGGUGCUUGCACCUGGUGGCGAGUGGCGAACGGGUGAGUAAUAUAUCGGAACGUACCUUAUCGUGGGGGAUAACGCAGCGAAAGCUGCGCUAAUACCGCAUACGCCCUGAGGGGGGAAANCGGGGGACCGUAAGGCCUCGCGCGAUUAGAGCGGCCGAUAUCUGAUUAGCUUGUUGGUGGGGUAAAGCCCACCAAGGCGACGAUCAGUAGCUGGUCUGAGAGGACGAUCAGCCACACUGGGACUGAGACACGGCCCAGACUCCUACGGGAGGCAGCAGUGGGGAAUUUUGGACAAUGGGGGCAACCCUGAUCCAGCAAUGCCGCGUGAGUGAAGAAGGCCUUC
rnacentral:rRNA from 1 species